AACACAAAAAAGAAGAAAAAAA
rnacentral:sRNA from 1 species